ensembl:lncRNA
GCCUCUGGCUCCCUGAAGUGCUCUAGUUGAACUCUCAAGGGUCCCCGGAAAUGGACUUGAAGAAUGAAGAAACCAAAGUCAAGGCCAUUUAUUUUUAACUAAAUAUACCCUGAGUUCCCACUGAAAGUGAGCGUGGCCUGAUAGCAGAGCCAAAGGUACAGCAUCAAUUCUUAAGGGACCUCGUGCCGGCUCAAUAUCACCUCUCUUCACUUCCUGGCAGGAAUCUUUCUAAAGUGCAGAGCUGGCCAUGUCCUUCCCCUGCUGAAAAUCCUUUGAUGGUUCCAUAUGGUUAAGGGAUAAUAUGUGAACAAAUGAGCAGCAUUUAGGGUGCUUUCUGUAGCUCAGACUCUGCUCUAAGGACUUCAUAUAAAUUAAAUGUUUUAAUCUUUACAACAACGCAAUGAGAAAAGUAACAUUAUAUUCCUACAUUAUAUAUCAUGAAACAGGCAGAGGGAGGGCAAACAGCCCCAUCAAGGUUAGACAGCAAGCAUGUGACAAAAACAGGAUUUGAACCCAAUCUCCACGGCCUAUACUCUUAACAGCUGUACUAUGUCAUCUCUUAGAAAAGUGCAAGAUCUCCAAAAAAGGGGGAAAAUUCUGUAGAAGUCCCACAUGGUGUAGGUUCUUUCAGCUCUUUCCAAUCUGUCCCAUUGCCUCUCUCAAUAUCACAAGCAGGGAAGUGGGUCAGAGCUCUUCUGGGGCCAAGGGAUUGCCUUUCAUGGUGAAUGGAGCAGACAGGAUGGAAGCCCUUCACUGGAGUUGUCAGCAUUGCAUCCUCAGGUCGGGGGCCAGGGGAGGCCAGGCACGGAGGGUGGAAAAGCCCAAAUGGAAGUGCUUCACCCCUCACCCCUCUCGCUCCACGCACUGUGCACCAGCCACAGCCCCAGGAGCCCAGAAGUGCAGCUGCAGGAGUGGUGUGCCUUCGUUUGUGGGGGAUUUUACUUUUAAUUAAGAGAGUGAGCACUUGUUUUCAUUAACCAUUCUCCAGAAGGCAAGAUAUGAUUCUCUUCACAGUGGGAGCGCCAGCUCUCUCCUUCCAAUCCAUUAAGCAUGGCGUGGAGCCGUGUAACUUUGCACACGCCACGCUGUUCUCUAUAAAUAGGGACCAUCCAUCAGAAAUGUCACAAACAGGAAGCCAAUGAAGUUUCUACAACCCAUUUACAAUCAGGAUCCGCCGUGAAAUGCACGCGGUAAAACAUCGCAACAGAUUGAGAGGAUGUGAAAUACAUACUAUGUAUGGCCAAGGGAGCCCUGUUAAAUCCGGAGGAUGGAGCCUAAAGGAGAAAAAGUGGAAAAUGCACAAAAAUGAGGGAACAAAUGAUCAGAAGCAGGUGGGGUCUAUAAUCACAUUUGAAAAUGAAAAACAACAUGGCAAAUAGAAACAGCGUAACAAUGUCCCAUUUUUUACCAUUCUGCAAAGUCAGCAAACCAGGGGCACUCUUGCAAAUAAACGUUCUUGAUGCUGAAUUUAUUACCACUAGGCUAAAAAGUAUGAAAAUUGAAAAUUUCUAUUUAGACAGAAAAUAAAUUUAACCAAGGGGAGAGCAAAGCAGGUUUCCUGAGACUGAGCUGUCAACUUCCCUCAACCUUGUCCCAGAAGAUUUACUCACGAGCGGAAAAAUUUUGGCCUGGUUCAGUUGUGUAGCUUCAUUUUUGGAAGCUUUAAAACUGUCCUUGCAGGACAAGAAGAUUCGUCCAUCAGCCUCACCAUAGAUAGCCUCAGUGCCCAGGUCCGAGGCAUGACUUUGUGUAGGGUAGACAACACGUUUCAAUCAUUUUAAUGAAUGACUAGCAGUAUCUUUCUUUGCACAUAUGUUGAUGCAAAGAAAAGAGAUGCUUCAAUGCUAACAUCAUCCUCAUCAAGAUCAGCAGCAGCAGCACCAUUGUCAUGCCAGUUGGUAUUAAAUGAGGACCGGUUUAAUGCCAGGUGCAAGAGCGAUGUCAUAUAAAGUGAGUACUAUUACAUGCCCACUUUACAGAUGAUGAGACCCAGACUUAGAGAGAUCAGAUUAAUUGAUUAAUUAGAUUAAUUAGAGAGUAUCAAUUAAGUGAUAGACUCAGGAUUCCAGCACCAUCUUUUAAAGCCAGACCACUGAGAAUUGUAGUCACUGGAGGGGGCUGACCCGGUGGCACAGUGGUUAAGUUCACACCUUCUGCUUCGGCGGCCCGGGGUUCCCCGGUUCAGAUCCCAGUGCAGACCUACACACUGCUUGUCAAGCCACACUGUGGCAGGCAUCCCACAUAUAAUCUAGAGGAAGAUGGGCACGGAAGUUAGCUCAGGGCCAGUCUUCCUCAGCAAAAAGCGGAGGAUUGGCAGCAGAUGUUAGCCCAGGGUUAAUCUUCUU